rnacentral:rRNA from 1 species
AACAAGGUCUCCGUUGGUGAACCAGCGGAGGGAUCAUUACCGAGUUUACAACUCCCAAACCCCUGUGAACAUACCACUUGUUGCCUCGGCGGAUCAGCCCGCUCCCGGUAAAACGGGACGGCCCGCCAGAGGACCCCUAAACUCUGUUUCUAUAUGUAACUUCUGAGUAAAACCAUAAAUAAAUCAAAACUUUCAACAACGGAUCUCUUGGUUCUGGCAUCGAUGAAGAACGCAGCAAAAUGCGAUAAGUAAUGUGAAUUGCAGAAUUCAGUGAAUCAUCGAAUCUUUGAACGCACAUUGCGCCCGCCAGUAUUCUGGCGGGCAUGCCUGUUCGAGCGUCAUUUCAACCCUCAAGCACAGCUUGGUGUUGGGACUCGCGUUAAUUCGCGUUCCCCAAAUUGAUUGGCGGUCACGUCGAGCUUCCAUAGCGUAGUAGUAAAACCCUCGUUACUGGUAAUCGUCGCGGCCACGCCGUUAAACCCCAACUUCUGAAUGUUGACCUCGGAUCAGGUAGGAAUACCCGCUGAACUUAAGCAUAUCAACAAG